rnacentral:lncRNA from 1 species
AAAAAAUUGUAUUACAGAAUAAGUAAAAUCGCUUUUAGUAUAUCAGACGAAUAUAUAAUAGUUGGUGAUGGAAUAACAAAUAAAUCCAAUUCAACAAAGGAAUUUAUAAAUGCAGUUACAACAAAAACAAAUUUAUCAAUAUUUUGUAUAAAAACAUGUAAAGAAAUUAAAAAUUUUGAAAUAAAAAAAUGUACUAGUUAUGUUAGUUUUAUUGAACCUAAUCCAUAUUAUAAAGAUAUUGUUUUAUUUGGUUGUUUUAAAAAAUAUAUUUUUUUAAUAAAUAUAGAAAAAAAAAAAAUGAUAAAAAAAUAUUCUUAUGAUAAUGAAUUAAAAAAUUUAAGUGCUGAUUGGAAUAAAACUGGUUCUACAUUUAUUGUUUCUCAUAAUUUUGGAUAUUUUUCUAUUUUUUCAAUGAAUAACGAUGCAUGUUAUACAUUAACAUUAACAGAACAAAUUACUUCUUUACAACUUAAAAAAUUUAGCAACUAUACCAUAACAAAUGAAAAUAGCUUAAGUGAUGAACAAACAGAGAUAUUGCAAGAUGUUUAUAUGUUGAAUACAAAUGGAGAAAAUAAUAGGUUUAUAAAUUAUCUUAUGCGAAAUAACUAUGUCGCAAUCAAUAAAUUUUCACAUAAUAGGUAUGGAACUAAUGGAUUUGGUUUUUUUGUUGAACGUGUUUUUAAUGAAAGAGAUAAAUCGAGUAAUGACUACACAGAUCGUAGUUCCAUUGAAAGUAAUAGUACCCUAAGUAGUAGUAGUAAUAGUAAUAACAGUAGUAAUAGUAGUAGUAGUAGUAAUAGUAGUAAUAGUAGUAAUAGUAGUAAUAGUAGUAAUAGUAGUAAUAGUAGUAAUAGUAGUAAUAGUAGUAAUAGUAGUACUAGUAGUAGUAGAAACAGCAACGGAAACAGUUACAGAAACAGAAACAGAAACAGAAACAGUAACAGAAACAGUAAUAGAAACAGAAACAAAAACAGAAACAAAAACAGAAACAAAAACAGAAACAAAAACAAAAACAAUAACAACAGUAGCAGCAGUAGUAGUAGUAGUAGUAGUAGCAAUAGCAGUAGUAUUGACUGUAUCAAAAUAAGUGAUACUGAUGAUAACUUAUAUAAUAAUAACUCAUUCAAUCGGCCGUUAAACAAUAAUAAUAGAAUUAAAAAAAAGUCUAUUAUUGCAAAAAAUAAGAAAAUAAAUAGAUUAAAACGCUAUUUUAGUUUAAAAUGUAAAGAAAAAAAAUGAUAAAUCAGGUAAAAGUGAUCAAUUAGAUAAAGAUAAAAAAAAAAAAAUAAUAAAUUAGAAAAUAUAAACA